rnacentral:tRNA from 1 species
UCCCUGAAGGACUAGUGGUUAGGCCACAGCGCUUUCACCACUGCAGCCUGGGUUCAAUUCCCAGCCAAGGAA